rnacentral:misc_RNA from 1 species
CUGGGUCUGGGCCACUGUGCCCGCUACCCGCCCUUUGUCAUACGCACUCGUUACUUCGGCCUUGGUGGCACCUCUCCCUGCAUCACAGGGGGGUUGUCCCGGGUCGGCAUUGCAAACCCACGCGGAAUUAUGAAGUCUGAGAAAAUUAAAAACGAAUA